rnacentral:rRNA from 1 species
GACGAACGCUGGCGGCGUGCUUAACACAUGCAAGUCGAACGAAGUGGCGAACGGGUGAGUAACACGUGAGUAACCUGCCCUCUUCUUUGGGAUAACGGUCGGAAACGGCUGCUAAUACUGGAUAGUGGGGGAUGGGCUCGCGGCCUAUCAGCUUGUUGGUGGGGUGAUGGCAUACAAAGGCUUUGCAGGGUAACCGGCCUGAGAGGGUGACCGGUAACACGGGGACUGAGAUACGGCCCAGACUCCUACGGGAGGCAGCAGUGGGGAAUUUUGCAAAAUGGGCGCAAGCCUGAUGCAGCGACGCCGCGUGAGGGAUGAAGGCCUUCGGAUCGUAAAACUCUGUUAUUAGGGAAACGGUACCUAAUCAGAAAGCCACGGCUAACUACGUGCCAGCAGCCGCGGUAAUUC